GGGGAAUUUUGGACAAUGGGGGAAACCCUGAUCCAGCCAUCCCGCGUGUGCGAUGAAGGCCUUCGGGUUGUAAAGCACUUUUGGCAGGAAAGAAACGUCGCGGGCUAAUACCCCGCGGAACUGACGGUACCUGCAGAAUAAGCACCGGCUAACUACGUGCCAGCAGCCGCGGUAAUACGUAGGGUGCAAGCGUUAAUCGGAAUUACUGGGCGUAAAGCGUGCGCAGGCGGUUCGGAAAGAAAGAUGUGAAAUCCCAGAGCUUAACUUUGGAACUGCAUUUUUAACUACCGGGCUAGAGUGUGUCAGAGGGAGGUGGAAUUCUCGGUGUAGGGGUAAAAUCCGUAUAGAUCGAGAGGAAUACUCAUUGCGAAGGCGACCUGCUGGAACAUUACUGACGCUGAGGUGCGAAAGCGUGGGGAGCAAACA
rnacentral:rRNA from 1 species